UCCCGGCGGGGGAGGAAAAUGCCGUGUCUAUGGGAAAUAAUUGUGAAAAACACAACGGGGCAACCCACCCGAAAGAACCUGAGUGGAUGGGGCCAGUAAGACGUCACGGUGAGCUGCAGCCAUGAAGCGAAGGAUCAGGAGCAAGGCAUCAUUUGGAGACCCAGUCCUGUCGCGCAGAUUGACUAAUUCUCUUGAUUGUUGUGGAGCGCGCGGGUGUCUGUGAUUCCAAAACGAAGGUGAUCUUGGCCAACACCAGAGGAAUCAGACGGCAUUUAGGGCACCACCAUCAGUUGUUCAGAGAUGCCAGUGGGAGAGUGAGAGAGUGUGGAGGAGGGGCUGGUCCACCAUCACUACCACCCACCCACCUCCUCCUCCAGCCUCCCUCCAUCACCGCUCGCAUGUGUAGCCUGUCCCCCAACCCCUCCCUCCGCCUCUGCCUGCCUGCCUGCCUGCCCUCUCCUGCGUAUCACAAGAUGCAGCCUGCGCCACCAUCUUAUGAGAAUGCCUGGCAUAAAAUGGAAGUGGGGGGAAAACACGAAAGGAGGUAAAACACUGCAAAAAAAGAGGGACCGACAGAUUGAUCAGAAAACGAAAACUGACCGACUCUCCCCGACAGACACAAAUAUGGCCACAAGCACUUACACAAUGGAACGCACGUUGUCUAUCGUCUACUCAUUUUGUGCCCCAACACCCGAUCCCAAAAGCACUUUACAUGUUGCAUCGUCUGUUUACGUUUCACGUGCUCUUUGGUGGCAGUCGGCCAUUUACGUCUGAUGAGAGGACACUACAUAACGCUGUGAUUGCCUUCGCUGUCUUCCAGUGGAGGUAUAGAACCGCUCCGGGCUCGUAAACCUGUUCCAGUCUGUCUGGUGCUUCUGUGCGGCUGUGGCAUCGCUGACUGAGCCUCAGAAGAUAGGACACACACCUGGAGUACAUCUGUCUGUCUCACCAGUAGACUCUGCAGAACAACACACAGCACUAUCACAGCUGUUUACAAUCUAUACGAGAGACUUGUGCAAUGCAUUAAUUGCAUAUGUAUAUUCUGAAACUAUUGUUUUUUUUUUAAAAUGUAUGUGGAAUUGCUUAAGAUGAGCGAUUGUUUUUAAUAUGCACUAAAUAUACAGUAUAGCAGGGUAUUUGUUGUUUGCUAACCUACACUAAUAGGAAUGUUUGUUUUGCUUAAUUCAUAUAUAGGGUACUUUAAUCAUGUUAACCUGAAGGAUUUGGUAGUGUAUACCAUGUAGACAGCUGGUAUAGUGGACCUCCUUUUUUAUUACUUUAAUUUUUUUUGUAGAAAUAAUUUAGUGCUGAGCAUGUGUUUGAAUGUGUGUAAGACCCACGGCAGCAGUGAAGCCAACUGCACUGUGAUUGGACAGCUCCAUGUGUGGACACACACGCUGGUGAAGGAGAGAGCUGUUGUCUUUAUUCUCUAUGCAACUCCACAGGGCUCGCAAUCAACUGGAACAUGCACCUUUUGCACUAGCAAAUACUGAAAAGUCUAUCCUCUUAUGCAUGCUUUGAUGGAAAUAGUGUGUGUGUGUGUGUGUGUGUGUGUGUGUGUGUGUGUGUGUGUGUGUGUGUGUGUGUGCAUGAACCAGCAAUGUUUUUCUCAAUUUUAUGUUUCCAUCUCGGGUAGUGGCAAAUUUUUAUUUAAUCAAUCAUGAUUUGAUCUAUGCAAUUAUAGUCUAUCCAUUUGUGCAUUUAAUGUUUUAAUGGGACUAUCAAGACUUUUGGGGACUUUGUGUAUUGUCCUUGUCAAUCUUUUUUUUUCAUGGCAAUCAAAAUAAACAAUCUUUUUGACAACUGUCAAGUAAAUCAUCUUUGUAUGUAUGCAAGCCACAUUUUGUGGUCUCAGUUGGUUGCAGUCCCUCUGAAUUAUAUAUGAAAAUUAUCUAUGCAAAAUUUAUAAAAUUGUACUGUUAUAAAAUGUUACUGUGAAUUUGCACUAGCUCUGUGUUUACCAUAAUGUGCCUUUGACUAACAGUGUCCUGCUAUGGAUUAAAAAUAAACGUUUACAUUGAAAACAAA